rnacentral:rRNA from 1 species
GACGAACGCUGGCGGCGUGCUUAACACAUGCAAGUCGAACGGUAAGGCCCUUCGGGGUACACGAGUGGCGAACGGGUGAGUAACACGUGGGUGAUCUGCCCUGCACUUCGGGAUAAGCCUGGGAAACUGGGUCUAAUACCGGAUAGGACCACUGCCUGCAAGGGUGGUGGUGGAAAGCUUUUGCGGUGUGGGAUGGGCCCGCGGCCGAUCAGCUUGUUGGUGGGGUGAUGGCCUACCAAGGGGACGACGGGUAGCCGGCCUGGGAGGGGGACCGGCAACACUGGGACUGAGAUACGGCCCAGACUCGUACGGGAGGCAGCAGUGGGGAAUAUUGAACAAUGGGCGCAAGCCUGAUGCAGCGACGCCGCGUGAGGGAUGACGGCCUUCGGGUUGUAAACCUCUUUCAGCACCGACGAAGCGCAAGUGACGGUAGGUGCAGAAGAAGGACCGGCCAACUACGUGCCAGCCGCCGCAGUAA